rnacentral:rRNA from 1 species
UUUGUUUUUUAAUUAAAAACUAGAAUGAAAGAUUUUACAUUUUAAUUUCUUUAUUAAAUAUCAUAUAUAAAUUUAUAUUAAAUAUAAAAAUAUAUUUAUAAUAUAAAAAGACGACAAGACCCUAUUAAAUUUUACUUAUUGUUUAGCUGGGGCAGCUUUUUAAAUAAAAUUUUAAAAUUAUUUAUAUAUUAAUAAAAAUCUAAUAUAAUUAAAUUAAUCUAAUUACUAUAGGGAUAACAGCGUUAUAUUUUUUUCAAGUUCAUAUUAAAAAAAAUCAUUGCGACCUCGAUGUUGAAUUAUAUUUCUUUAUUAAUGCAACAAUUAUAAA